rnacentral:rRNA from 1 species
GGUUAAGUUAGAAAGGGCGCACGGUGGAUGCCUUGACACUAGGAGUCGAUGAAGGACGGGACUAACGCCGAUAUGCUUCGGGGAGCUGUAAGUAAGCUUUGAUCCGAAGAUUUCCGAAUGGGGAAACCCACUAUACGUAAUGGUAUGGUAUCCUUACCUGAAUACAUAGGGUAUGGAAGACAGACCCAGGGAACUGAAACAUCUAAGUACCUGGAGGAAGAGAAAGCAAAUGCGAUUUCCUGAGUAGCGGCGAGCGAAACGGAAUCUAGCCCAAACCAAGAGGCUUGCCUCUUGGGGUUGUAGGACAUUCUAUACGGAGUUACAAAGGAACGAGGUAGACGAAGCGACCUGGAAAGGUCCGUCACAGAGGGUAACAACCCCGUAGUCGAAACUUCGUUCUCUCUUGAAUGUAUCCUGAGUACGGCGGAACACGUGAAAUUCCGUCGGAAUCU